GUUUCCUUUGAGGAUGUGGCUGUACCCCUCUCCCAGGAGGAGUGGGACUGUCUGAUCCCUGCUCAGAGGGGCCUCUACAAGGAUGUGAUGAUGGAGACCUGUGGGAACCUACUCUCACUAGGCUGUGAUUCUAGGAUUGAAAAAGAGGAAAUGAUUCCAAAGCAGGACAUUUCUGAAGAAUUGGAAUCCCAGAGAGCAAAAUCAGAAGAUCAUGUAAGGAAUAUUUUUAAGGAAACUGAAGAGAUCAGUAAAACUGAGGGAAAGUUAGAGAAUUGCUGGAGAAAAUAUGCAGUAGAAGGAGUUAAGAACUCAUUCUCCCAGAGGAGCAAUUUCAGAGAAAUUACCAUGAGGUAUGUGAAAACCCUCUCUAGAGAGAAUGGCCAGAAGUUCAAUGCUGUUGGAGAAAACUGCAUUACAGACUCAAAUCCUGCCAAACAUCUUAGAGGGUCUAGAGAGGAGAGUCUCCAUCCAAGUGUGUCAAGUGUAGAAAACUUGCAACAACAUGAGGACCUCAUUAACCUCCAGAGUUUCCAAUUAGGAGAAAGAGCCUAUCAGACAGAUGUGUUAGUGAAAGUGCCCAGACAGAGUUCAGUUCUUAGUGAGAAUCAGAGGAUGAAUAAUCCAGAGAGAUGGUUUGAGAGUACUGGGCAUGGAAAAACUUAGAAUCAGAACAGAGCUUUUAACCAGCACCAGAGAUUUCAUAGUGGAGAGAAGCCCUAUGAGCACAAUGAAUGUGGAAAAGCUUUCAGUCAGCCCUCUAUCCUCAGUAAACAUCAGAGAAUCCACACUGGUAAGAAACCCUACACAUGAGAGGAUUGUGGCAAAUCUUUCAGUGUUCACUCAUACUUUAUUCAGCAUUGUAAAAUUCACACUAGAGAAAAACCCUAUGAGUGUAUUAAAUGUGGGAAAGCUUUUAGUACACAUUCAUCUUAUGUUCAACAUCUAAAAAUUCAUACAGGAGAGAAACAUCAUGAGUGUAAUCAGUGUGGGAAAGCCUUUAGUCAUAGCUCUAAUCUGAUUCAUCAUCAGAGAAUUCAUAGUGGAGAGAAACCUUACAAGUGCAAAGAAUGUGGGAAAGCCUUCAACAGACAAUCACACCUUAUUCAGCAUCAGAGAAUUCAUUCUGGAGAGAAACCUUAUGACUGUAAGAAGUGUGGCAAAGCCUUCAGUACGCAAUUAUCUCUCAUUCAGCAUCAGAUAAUUCAUACAGGAGAAAAGCCCUAUGAAUAUAAUGAAUGUGGAAAAUCCUUUAGCCUGAACCGAACUCUUACUGUCCAUCAGAGAAUUCACACUGGAGAGAAACCUUAUAGGUUUAAUGAAUGUGGGAAAUCCUUUAGUCAAUGCUCACAAGUUAUUCAACAUAAGAGAAUUCACACUGGAGAGAAACCUUAUAUCUGCAAUGAGUGUGGAAAAUCAUUUGGUGCUCGCCUAUCCCUUAUCCAGCAUCAGAGAAUUCACACUGGAGAGAAACCUUAUGGUUGUAGUGUGUGUGGGAAAACCUUUAGUCAAAAGGGACAUCUUAUUCAGCAUCAGUGAAUUCACACAGGAGAGAAACCCUAUGAAUGUAGUGAGUGUGGAAAAGCUUUCAGCCAGAGUUUUAAUCUUAUUCACCAUCAAAGAACACACAAUGGUCAGAAGCCCUAUGAAUGUAAUGAAUGUGAUAAAGCCUUCAGUGUGCUUUCUUCCCUUGUUCAACAUCAGAGAAUACAUAAUGGAGAGAAACCCUAUGAGUGUCACAAAUGUGGGAAGGCCUUUAGCCAGGUGUCACACCUUAUUCAGCAUCAGAGGAGUCACACUGGUGAGAAACCCUAUGGUGUAAUGAGUGUGGGAAAACCUUUGGGCAGAUAUCCACCCUAAUUAAGCAUGAGAGAACACACAAUGGAGAGAAGCCCUAUGAGUGCAGUGACUGUGGGAAGGCCUUCAGCCAGAGUGCACACCUUAUCCGCCAUCAAAGAAUUCACACUGGACAGAAUCCCUAUGAGUGCAGUGACUGUGGGAAGACCUUCAAUGUUCGUUCCUCUCUCAUUCAGCAUCACAGAAUUCAUACUGGUGAGAAACCUUAUGAAGGUAGUGACUGUGGCAAGGCGUUCAGUCAGCAUUCACAAUUUAUCCAACAUCAGAGAAUUCACACUGGAGAGAAACCCUACAUGUGCAAUGAGUGUGAGAAAUCCUUCAGUGCACGCUUAUCCCUUAUCCAACACAAAAGAAUUCACACUGGAGAGAAACCCUAUGUAUGCGCCAAAUGUGGAAAAUCCUUCUGACAAAGCUCUCACCUUAUUCAACAUCAGAGAAUUCACAGUGGGGAGCAACCUUAUACGUGUAAUCAAUGUGGAAAAACCUUCAGUCAGAGAAUAACUCUUAGUAGUCAUGAGAAAAUCCAUACAAUUCACAUUACAGAGCAAGUCUAUGAAUGUAGUAAGUGUGGGGAACUCUAGCGCACAGUCAUGUUUCAUUCAACAUUGUACAGUUCACAGUGGAGAGUAA
rnacentral:sRNA from 1 species